rnacentral:misc_RNA from 1 species
CCUGUUCGAGCGUCAUUAUAACCACUCAAGCCUCGGCUUGGUAUUGGGGUUCGCGGUCUCGCGGCCCUUAAAAUCAGUGGCGGUGCGUCUGGCUCUAAGCGUAGUAAUUUCUCUCGCUAUAGGGUCCGGGUGGUUACUUGCCAAAAUCCCCCAUUUUUAAGGUUGACCUCGGAUCAGGUAGGGAUACCCGCUGAACUUAA